rnacentral:lncRNA from 1 species
CCAUCACAGAUCAAAAGAUUAUUUGCACAAUUAUAGCAUUGAGACAAUCACUAACGAUUGAGUAGAAAUUCAAGUGAUCUCUCUUAUGGUCACGCUCAGUACUAAUUAUUCUCUAACAACUAUCCGUACUCAUCACUCAGUAUCUUUAUACUAUAGAUCAGAGAUUCAUCUACGUCAAAAGAAGCGAUCUAUGCAUCGAUCUAUCUAGAUCGAUCGCCAUCCUCAUGAUAAUAU